rnacentral:lncRNA from 7 species
GAUGUUGAUGUGUGACUUUUCCAAGGUUAAACGUAAACAUGCUAAAAUAAAUGCUACCAUAUAACCUUGCCACUUAAAAUAUUGAUGUAACAGUGUGAAUGUACCAGUUCACCCCUUGUGAUGAACAAGGGGAAGAACUUCAAUCAAUAGAUAUAACAAUAGUAAUCACAUGCAUAAUUGGCAAUGAAUCUACAUGCACAACUGACCUUAAGGCGCUCCAAGCUUUUCUAUGUUAAUCAACAAUUCUACUGAGUCUUCUCUUGAAUCUCUAAGCUUUUCCCCAAAUCAACCAUGGUACUAGCUAUAAGCCUUCUCUUAUAACCACUAGUGGAUUACAAUGGCAACAACACAUUGGUAUCAAUGCAAAGUUGGCAUGAACAACCACCAAAACCAUGUAACAAGAGGUAUAACAAUAGUCAUAACAAACAAGUCACAAUUUUCGUCAUCUAUAAUAAGAUCAUAUCACACUAGCACAUACUAGAAGUCCAGAAUGUACCAAAUUUGGCUAGAGUACAUUUUCACAAGUCAUCUACUCAUUACCAAAAAAUCAUCUCAAUUAGAAUUCAUAAACUGUUUCACCACCAAACACGUUGCAGCCACAAAGCCUUUUAAUUCCAAACAAGAUCGAGAUAAGCUCGAGUUGAUGUGAGAUGGAGACUUAAAUCUUGCGCUCUUUCAUGAUGUUAUUUAUAUAAUUAGCUUAGAAGGAUAUGUUUCAUGAAUUGCAUUAUAGUUAAUAUUGUGUCUAAGUACCUGCAGAGCUGGUGUCUAGUUGUUAGGAAAUCGAAUAGAUUGAAAGAAUAUAUCUUGGUUAUUUCAAUACCAAUUAUCCGCCCUUCUUUGGGAAAAAGAAAUUAAACACUACCAUCGAGCCAAGAUAAAGAAUAAUAACACGAUAUACUUCCAAAUGAUUGCAAAUGGCAAAUGUAGGAAGGUAAGAUUUUU